CACGUAGUUAGCCGUGGCUUAUUCAAGAGGUACCGUCUUCUGCUCUUCCCUCUUAAAAGAAGUUUACAACCCGAAAGCCUUCUUCCUUCACGCGGCGUUGCUGGGUCAGACUUGCGCCCAUUGCCCAAUAUUCCCCACUGCUGCCUCCCGUAGGAGUCUGGGCCGUAUCUCAGUCCCAAUGUGGCCGGUCAACCUCUCAGUCCGGCUACUGAUCGUCGCCUAGGUGGGCCGUUACCCCGCCUACUAGCUAAUCAGACGCGAGGCCAUCUUCCAGCGAUAAAUCUUUGGUGUCUCGAUGAUGCCAUCGAAACACAUCAUGACGGUAUUAGCAGUGUUUCCCAACUGUUGUCCCCCUGUCGGAAGGCAGGUUCCUACACGCGUUACUCACCAGUCCCGCACUAAGCUAUUCCCUU
rnacentral:rRNA from 1 species